GUUUGACGGACUGGAUCGGUUCCACCGGCGGCGCAUCGGUAUGGCCGAGUAAUGACCUGUCGG
rnacentral:sRNA from 1 species